GUGAAUCAUCGAAUUUUUGAACGCAAAUUGCGCCUUUUUCGGAAGGCAUGUCUGUUUGAGGGCACCAUUUAACAAAUAAUGUGCAGCGUUUUUUGUUGCACACGUUGAUGAGCUUUCAAAAAUUUUAAAUUUUUGGUUGGCGAUUAAGAACCAGGGUAAAGGUUUUUUUAAUUUGGAGGGUA
rnacentral:misc_RNA from 1 species